UCCUCAAAUGGUACGACUGCACUGGUUCUCGUCCGUCCAUCAAAAGUACACCGCGUCGGGCGCGGUUAGUACUUAGAUGGGAGACUAUUCGGGAACACUGCGUGUUGGAGGCA
rnacentral:rRNA from 1 species